CCUACGGGAGGCAGCAGUGGGGAAUAUUGCGCAAUGGGCGAAAGCCUGACGCAGCGACGCCGCGUGAGGGAUGAAGGUCUUCGGAUCGUAAACCUCUGUCAGCAGGGAAGAACGGUCACUGUGCUAAUCAGCAGUGAAUUGACGGUACCUGCAAAGGAAGCACCGGCUAACUCCGUGCCAGCAGCCGCGGUAAUACGUAGGGUGCGAGCGUUAAUCGGAAUUACUGGGCGUAAAGCGCUCGUAGGCGGUAUGUCAAGUCAAGGGUGAAAUCCCCGCGCUCAACGUGGGAACGGCCUUUGAAACUGGCGGACUGGAGUGUGUGAGAGGAUAGUGGAACUCCAGGUGUAGCGGUGAAAUCCGUAGAUAUCUGGAGGAACAUCAGUGGCGAAGGCGACUAUCUGGCACAUAACUGACGCUGAGGAGCGAAAGCGUGGGUAGCAAACAGGAUUAGAUACCCCAGUAGUC
rnacentral:rRNA from 1 species